rnacentral:rRNA from 1 species
UCCCUUAGAUGUUCUGGGCCGCACGCGCGCUACACUGACGAAUGCAACGAGCUUAUAACCUUGGCCGAAAGGUCUGGGUAAUCUCCAAAUUUCGUCGUGAUGGGGAUAGAUUAUUGCAAUUAUUAAUCUUCAACGAGGAAUGCCUAGUAAGCGCAAGUCAUCAGCUUGCGUUGAUUACGUCCCUGCCCUUUGUACACACCGCCCGUCGCUACUACUGAUUGAAUUGGUUUUUGAAGAAUAAGGAUUGGCCGACUGAGCGGGUGCUUGCAUCAGCAUAAGUAUGGUCGAGAAUCAUUCUGAAAAAACCGUUCGAGAGGAAGUAAAAGUCGUANCA